GUAAUGGGGAAGGGGGGGUGUGAGGAGCUCUGGGUGAAACCUUGGGCCUGUCCGCCUGUUGGAUUUAAUGUAAAGUGAAAAAGGGCCACUUUUUCUAGGGGGGGUUUGGCGAGGAAUGGCAGCAGGCCUCCCCUUUUUGUGGAGAGCAAAGCACGCUGCUGGUCUGCGUUGAAGACUGGAGGGGGCUCGAUCUGGGCAGAAAGUUUUUGUUGUUUUGUUUUUUUCCUUUUUUUUAAUUCCUUUUCUCCUUUUCCCUUCUCUAUAAGUAAAAUGGGAUUACUUGGGGGUGCCCUUGCUGGUAUUUUCAAGGGCCUUAUAGUCUGAUUAUAGGGAGAAAAAGGCUGCAAAAUACACAAAGUCAACAACGGGAAUGGUUUGUUUUGCUAAAUUGAUCCAGUUCUAGUAAUCUGAAGUGUUUAGUUGUUGCAGGAGGCAGUUUCUGAAGCUGCGGCUUGCAAGUUGAUAUUGUCCUUUAAAUACCUCUCCAACAGUUGUCCAAGGAUUAUUUUUAUCUAUGAAUUUCUUUAAUGCAGUGUUUGCUUUUGUUUCCUUUUUAAACAGUGCUUUAAAACAAGAGAUUGAAGGAAGCUACUUUGUAGACAAAUAUGUUUUGUUUUGAAGGUUAGAUAUUACUAAAAUUGUCCUGAACCUAUAAAUAAAGUAUUUAUUAUGUAGGAAUCUGAUCUGGAGCUGGUGGUGACCUCUCUUUCAGUUUGCCACGCAUACACACUUUUUAGAAUGAAGGUAAUGCUUAAGGCCCGUCAUCUGUUUGAAAACGAAGCUGAAUUUGUGCCCAGAGUUAUUAAGAGCUAUAUGGAAGUGUUAAAUUGAGUGCUUUUUGGGACCAGGAUGCUGAAGAGCUCAUGUACCUCAUUCAAACUCCACUGAAGUCUGUUGAAAUCUAAUGCAUGCUGAUGAGACCCUAAAAUGGAAGCUCAGACCCACAUCAGCAGUCACCCAGAUCCUAUUCCUGCCUCAGACUUAAUCUUUGGAUAUGAUGGGACUCCAAUUCCUGUACUGGGCACUGCUUCUCUGUGAGCAAGACAUUUGUUAGGAACCUAAUUCAUCAUUAAUAUAACAGUGAUUGAAAUCUGCCAAGAUCAGUAACUAGCCUUCCUCACCAAGAGAUGGAGAAUCCUUGCUGUUGUUAAUGUCAAAGGGCGCACUCAAUGGAGACAUGCUGUGCUUUGGUGGCUCUUUUGUUCUGAAUGGCCUGUGACCACAGAGACAGACCUGGAGCAGCUGUGGGGCUUUCUGAAUUUGCAGAAGAGAUCAGGAACGGAGAGACAAGUGCUUCUUCGCCUGAAGUGGGAAACUGUUCCCUCAUGUUUCUUGGGAGAUGGUGGUCAGAAGAUUAUAACUAAUGGAUUUUUGAGCAAAAGGCUGCAUUAAUAAAAGCCCGUGAAAAGGUUAAUGAAGAAAAUGCCCAUAGGUUAAGGCCUGAAGUACCUCUACUGAGACUGGAGUUACCUGCCAACUUUGCUGGUCCCAAACCAAGCAUCUUGGCUGAAAAUCACCCACAAAUCAGAAAGUUUAAAAGGGCCUCAGAAAUAUUAGACGACUAAAACCUCUGAAAUAGGAGGUAUUAAUCUCAUUCCCAAAAUUAGAAAGCAUGCAGUGUUGAGAGACUGGAUGUCAAAAUUACAUGUUCGUAGCACUUAUGUGAUGGGAAUCUAGGAACCAACCACUUUUAAAAAUGGGAGCUAAAGUAGAUGGAGAAUCUUCCGAGAGUAAAGCCAUCUAAACUUGGUCUUCUUGUCCUUACUGGAUUAAGGGGCACCCUUUCAGAUAAAAACAUGGACGUGAUUGGCAUCAUCCUGUAUCCAUGGAAACAUUUUAAGUACCUCUCUCUCAAUAUGUACUUCUCUUAUUCAGGGUUUAAAAGCUGAGUACUGAAUAAUACACUUCGACCAAAAUGCUAGGAGAGCAUGAGAAAAAGUACAGCAAAAGAGGAACUUUACUUGCAGAUCUCUAUCCAUGGCAUGAAAUUUUGUGACUUUAGGCAUUAGCACUAAGUUGGACUCAGGAGUUUUUCAUGAGGACCCAGAAUCUGAUCAACAGUGGACAUCUAGAACAGAGGACAUCUUCACAUGAGCACCACCUGUGCCAGAAGCUAAGAUGGUGCCUCAUGUUGUUCACAAGAAGAAAGUGAAGCUUUGGUGCCAUGAAUUCACCCACUGAGAGUCCUACUACUGCAGGAGGACUGUAGCAUGAGCAGAAGUACCAGCUUGGCCACAGGCCUUGUGCCCUCACUUAAAAUUCCAGAUCUUCAGGAGACUGAAGGGUCAGCAACUAGGAAGAACUGGACAACACUACUGGUUUGGAUAAGUGAAUCUCCAGUAAGAAGAUGUAUUCCACAUACUGUCUUCAUGCCUUCUAUAAAGCUCAGUAAAGCCUAUGGACGUAUAUCCACGCAUUUCACUAAACUGUGGUUUGAAAGAAUCCUGUCUGAAGAGCACAUUUUAUGGCUGUACAACCCAAAUAUCCUUUGGUUUUAAUGGAAGCUUUACUGGACUAAAAGUAAGGUGUUUUAUUACGCUAUAGCCUAAUGCAUUUUGUUGAUGAGAGUACAAUUUAACCUGUUAAAUCCAAAAAGUAUCUCUAUCUUGAACUAAGGUUGAUCUUGACAGGAAAAAGUAAAUGUGAACCAACAAUAAAACCUGUAUUAUUUGCAUGAGAAUGCUAUUGAUUUUCAUUCAGACUAAUCAACUCUUUGCGGUAGGUAGGGUCAACCAUUUCAGAGCAGUUUGUUAAAGCCAUUUUUUUUCUGUAAGGAUCGGACACAGUUUGGAAAGCAAAGAACUAAAACCCAAUGGACCAGUUCUUCAAAUAUGAGUAUAGGCUAAAGUAGUUCCUGCAAAUCAAUAUUGCUACUUCCUGCAGUGCUGUUACUAAAGAGAAUGGGCAUGUUCAGGGCUGGCCUGUGGCGUUUAGUUCGUUCUUGUAAUCCCAAGUAUGAAAAAUUAUUGAGUGUGUCUUUUUGAUUUUAUUAUGGAAAUGAGGUUGGACAGUCUUCAUCUGGCACAAAAAGAGUGGCAGGAUUCCUUGUUUCUCCUGAUCUCUGCUCAUGUAAGUACAGAAAUUUGAAAUCAAGCCAUGCACAGUAUUGCCAGUUGUUUUAAGGCCACAGCAUUUACACCUAUAAAUGAGAACCUUUAAAAGAAUCAUUACAAUUAUAGUCAGCAGCCUUGUUACUUAAUUACAUCCUGGUGUAGCCUCUGCAACUCAAAAAGUUUACAGGCAGUUUAAGAACUGAGAAGUUAAAUGUAUUUUAAAAUGUGUACACUGUGGUGCCUCUGAAUAAUUCUUUGCUACUACUCAGUGCCAGCUCAGAAUUUCACACCCUUGAACAGAUUGACUGGUUUGGCUUGUGUAAUAGGUACCCUGCUAUCCUGGACUACUUGGUGAGUGGGUGGAGAUGGGUGCUUUUGGAAAUGCCAAUUGAUAGCUAACCAUAACAAGUCAGAGUUAUGUGUGAGUUGAGAAGGUAGAUCUAUCUUAAGCAAAAUGGAUCUACUGAGACGCCUAGGAGCAACCAUAAAACUAGCAAGAAUGCUUUGCAAAUCAGCCAAGAACAGUUACUGCAGACAUUGGGAAGGUUUCUGGUAGGGUUUUUGGGGAGCAGCUCUGGGGGUUCUCAUGUUUGCCACCUAAAGGUUACUCAGCCCCGUGUGAAGCAGUGUUGGCAGUGCAGUUCUCACAGGGGAUUGUUCUUCAGGACAAUAGUGUGUUACCUUUUAUGCUUUUGCUUUCUGAACAGGAAGGAAAGGCACACGGGAAGUCUAAAAAAAGGAGAAUUUUAAUUCAAAGACAUAAUGUAACGCCGCCCUCAAUAUACUCAUUCCCACUGUGUCAGCUACUGAAAAAAACAAAACAAAAAAACCCAACCAAAACAAAACAAAAAAAACCCCACUUGUGCAUGCUAUAACUCAUUAAAUAAAAUCUGAUGAACUUUUGCCUUUAUAUUUUGGAGAAAACAUAGACCAGUGUCAUGUAUUAUGGCCCAACUUAUAUGGUCCAACUUAGUUCUUUUUUUUUCAAUAUUUUUUCUUUGCAUUCCAAAUUCCAACAAGAGAAAUUGAAUGCAUUUUAAAUUGUUAUUUACAUUGUGAACACUCUUAGGGUGGUUCUCUGUACCAAACAACAUCUUUGUCUUGAAGACAUUACAAUACUGAGCAGCUGAGAAGCCUGAAGACAAGCUUUGCUGUUAACCAUCUGACUUCUGUCAAAGUCACCUUAGCCCAGCGGGUCUGGUCAGAAAUGUCUGAAAUCCUCCCAGGUCUCAGGAAGACUGUCUGCUUGAGAUCAUAUAGGGCACUGCUGGCAGCACACAGCACAUUCCUGGGUUUACAGGCCCUACAUGAUAUUUCAGGCAGCUCUUGUUUCUGCGGCUAUGACCUGUUGCUGAGAGUCAAGCCACUAUGUAAACAAGAAGGACUUCAAACUCACAGUGUGUUGCUUUCCAGAGCAAGUGGUCAUUUGUUCCAGUUUCCCAUGACCACCUUACUGCUUGGGUUUGCUGUUCAGAAAAAAUACAUCAAUUUGCAGCAUUAAUGCUAGGCAAGGAAGAGGGGUUGGAAGUACAGACUGCAUUAGUACAUAUUAUUAAAUGUGCCAAGAGGAUAAUGUUACCUUAUCCCCAGUUUCAGCACUUUAAAAUGCUCUCCUUAUUAAAAUUUAAAAAAAAAACAAAAACAAACAAAACCAACCCCCUCCCCCACCCCCCCCAAAAAAAAAACAAAACCAAACAACAAAAAUGAAAGUUCAAACACUCAAACUUGUGUAGCCAAAACAAAAUCCAACUUAGGAAAUACAUUAUUUAGCUAUUAGCAAGAUGAUCUGACUUUAAAACUCCAUCCAUUAUACCAAUUUCUCCACCGAUGCCAUACAAAAUCAUUUAUUUUUCAUUACAUUUAUAACUCUAUCCAGAAAGAGACAGGAAAAGCAAUAUCAGAGGGUGAUUUACAUUGGGCUGGAUUUUGCUGCAACUUGGCAUUGUGAAUGAAUCUUUGGAAUACUCAAAAAGUACACAAGGAAAAAGCCAGGUUUUAAUUUGCUGAAGAAAAUAUUCUGACAUGUUGAUAAGUGAGGUAACCAAAAAUCAUGGCUUAAAAACAUUCUGAAUGAUUGCUGUUUCAGCUGUCCCAAUCCACAUGAUGGUAUUAAAACAGACUGGUGGUAAAGAAUACUAACAGCCUAUUUCUACCUGGGAAUAUUAACUCUCACUUGCUGACUGUUAUGUGGAAUUAAUGUGGACAUUUCCAGUUGUAUAUGCAUUAGUGCAGCUCUUGUUUUCAGAGUCAGGGAUUCAUAUUUAGUAGCGUGCAGUGUAAAUCGGAGGCUAAUCUGACAUCUUUAAUUCACAUGUAAAUCUGAGGCAGCUACUCUGAAGUUAGUGAGGUUUCCUCAGAUUUAUAUCUCUGUUGCUAAAAACAGAGCACAGUGGUCUAUUUUUAGAUAACCUGGAAUUGCAUAUGUUGAAAUGUGCUACCUGCCCUGGUGUCUUCAUGAAAAAGCUCAAGCCUGUUUGAAAAUAUAAAUUAAUUUUAAUGCAGUUUGGAAACCUUCUGUGCAUUCAAAAUAUGCCACAGCAUUCACUAGUCUUCCUGCAGCUGUGCCUAACUGCUGAGGGAUGACAGUCCUUUCUCUCUGCAAUACCUUUCAGACAAGCCCCAUUUAUGGCACAGAAAAUAUUUUUUUUUUCAGGUAACUCUUAAGGAGCAUCUAAAUAUGUAAUACAGCUUAUCGAUAAUGGAUAGAAUAUAAGUUGAUUUUGGUGAUUAUCUUUUCCCACCAGUAGCAUCAAAAGACAAUAGAAUCACCCCCCACCCAGGGCUUGAAAAACCAGGACCAUGGUGUGUUAACCACAAAGCUGAUGGAAAUAUCCUUCCCUGUCAGCAUCCCAAGCACCCUUUUGCCCUCUUGCAAGAAGAAGGUGGAGAGCAAGGCUGGAGAAGGGAGCACCCCUGUUCACGAGGGAUCCCUCCAGCCUCCAUCCGUCCAUCUGUCCAACUGUGCUCAGACAGAGUCAGUGGUUGGGGUGGGCAAGCUCCCCAGGCCUAGCAAUUAAGUAUAAAAAACCUGUCUUUAUCCAAACAGGACAUCUGUAUUUUGGAAAUUUCCAUCACAUUUCCUUCUGAAGUCCUAUUUUUCUUAAAGUGCACAGCAACAGUUAUGCCAGGGUAGCAGUGGUUAUUCUCCAACCAUGCUGAAGAACCAGGGUAGUCUGUUAACUCAACGUGAGUGAUCCAUGUCACUAUCAAUUCGUUUGUUCUUUAUAACUGUGGAUUUGCAUUUUUUUUUUUUCCCCUCCAAAUUGUUAAAAUUUUCCACUGCCUGUUGGAGAUCAGCUGUUGUCAGUGAAAGUUUGACAUGGAUGACAGUGGCCGUGGGUGGCACAGACAGCAUUUGGUGUUACCCCCAUGUUACUUGUAAUCUGAGAGGGCUUUAGCUGCUAAGAUGCUGGUGCCUUUCAUUCAGGCUUUGGUCUGACAUUCCUGGCAUAGCAGGGAUGAGGCUGGGGUGAGCAGAAAAGGAGUAGCAGAAAGGAAUAAAUUCAUGGAACCCAGUGGAAUGCUAUGAAAUCAGCAGCACCACCAUUCCUGGAUUCUCAGAAAUCAUGAUCCAGAUCCCUAACAGUGAGAACAGCUUCUGAAUAAAAAAGAAAGAAAGAAAAAGACAUGUAUAGAGAUACCCUAUGACAUGUAAGUCAAAGCCAGACAUCCGUGUUUCAUUCUGUCCAGUCACCAUUUUUAUCAUUUGUAUCUGUUUUUUUCCACUUAGGAUUCAUGCUUUUUUUGCAAUACUUUAAUGGUCUGAGUCUUAAAAAUACUGGAUUUAAUUGUCUGAGGGAAAGAGUGAAGAUUUUAUGGAAACCACCAAAUAUCCUGUGACUUGUGAUAAAAUUGUAGUGCUGAUUAGAGAAGGAUUGUUAUGGCAUUAAAUCAGUUAACAUAAUUCAAUAAAUUGAGAAUUUUGUUUUCUUA